CUCAACCCUGUCUCCUUUUGCGAGGAUGGCUUGGGCUUGGAAGUGGAGGCUUUUGCUGGUCCGUUUUUUAAAUGGAUCAGCUCCUCUUAAAGGUAUUAGUAGGACCCUUGCGGCCUCGGUGUGAUAAUUGUCUACGCCGUGGGUUUAGCUGUCUGGGACCCGCUUCCAACCGUCUCGCAAGAGACAACCUUCAUCGAAACUUGACCUCAAAUCAGGUGGGAC
rnacentral:rRNA from 1 species